GAGAGGCACCAUUACUCAUGGGCCGACAAACUGAACAGAGGGGAGGAGGGCCAGGGGCAGAAGAGGAGACCUGACUGGUAGGUGUUGGAUCCGACAAUCCAGGGGAGGAGGGAAUCCCAACAGGACCAGACAAAGCUGACCAGGAGCCAGAGAGUUUCAGGGGAUUAGAUAUGGGGGGAGGAGGGGAUGGGAAGUCACAGGUGCUUAUGCAGAUCCUUCAGGGCCAUUGGAACCUCUCCAUCUGUAUCUGUGUCGGAAGGAAGGACGGUGCUGUGGCCCCGGUUGGGGUUCAGGGCCACAGUUCAGUCUUGACCUGCCUGACUCACUUUCCCACGCACAUCCCUGUCUCUUCAUUUGUCAAAUGAGGGGCCAGAUCCAAAUGAUUUUUUUUUAAGAUUUUAUUGAUUUAUUCAUGAGAGACACAGAAAGAGAGGCAGAGACACAGACAGAGGGAGAAGCAGGCUCCCCGAGGGGACCCCGAUGUGGGACUCAAUCCCGGGACCCCAGGAUCAUGCCAUGAGCCGAAGGCAGACACUCAACCACUGAGCCACGCAGGCGUCCCUAUUGAUCCAAACGAUUCUUACAGUCCCUCGGAUUAUCUGCUUUUCCUUCCAUUCUCCACAUGCUACAAGCUUAGGGAAUUCUGCUGCUUACUUCCUUUCAUGAAAAUCUGAAGCCCUGAGAAACCCUAGGGAGCCCCUGAGCCCCAUGAUUUUCUUUGAAGGUGAUGCAAAGGGACACCACGUCCAACAAGACGUCUCCUCCGGGACAGUGUAACCUGAGGGAAGCAGGACAACAGCUAAAUUCCAGAGCCUCAUCAGACGGGCCCUCCAUGUCUUCGUAAAACUGAACUGACAAGCAUGACCUCCCCUUGGCGGUUCACCUUAUUGAAGCUGUCUGCUAGAUGCAGUAAGGCUCCGCUUCAAUACCAUGUCCUCCUCGCCGAAGGGCCCUGACUGAAGGAAGGCCAUGCUUAUGACGUGGGAAUGGUCAAUCCAGGGGGCUGAGGGGCUCUACGUGAGAGCCCCAGUACUGGGACCACAGUGCCUGUUCCACGGCUCUGGACAGGCCACUCCAAACUCAGUUGCCCCAGCCGGGAACUGGAUUAAAACUGUCCACGGCUUUUGCUCCAUGGAGCUACAGAUUCAAACAGGCUUCUCUCCCCAGAUUGAGAUGUCACAAGAAUCAUUUCAGUUCCUCAUGAAACCGUGGCAUGGAGCCAUCCCACACAAGGUCCCUGAAUCACAGGGGAGGCCUUGCUGGCUACAGUCAGGCACUGGGGUGCCAUGGGCCGGUUAUAUUCUUGGGCAGGAUCUGGAAGGCCCACACCUUUGUUCUGACCACUACCUCCUCUGUAGUGUUUUGCUCCUGGGAAUAGCCCUGACAUCUGUCCAAUGCAAAGGGUGUUACUGUGGUGCAGUGGCUCUCAGCCAUGACGUUGCAUCAUUAGAACUCCUUAAAAGAUCUAAACAAUAAUCUGAUGCUUGGUCUGCACUCUUGGGGAUUCUCGUAUAGUAGGUCUGGGGUGGCAACGGGGCAGCUGAUUAUUAGAACACGGUCGCCUGGCCUGGGAAUCAUUGUUCUAGACUCUAGAAUCUAGAGCAGUGAUUUCCAAACAUUUCCAUGCAUCAGAAUCCCCUGGAGGGCUUGUUAAAACACAGAUUGCUGGGCCCCACCCUAGAGUUUCUGGGAGUUCUGGGGUGGGACCCGUGGAUUUGCCUUUCUAGCAAGUUCCCAGGUGUUGCUGAGGCUGCUGGGGGCAAGACUGUGAGAACCACUAUUUUAGUACCCCAUCAGGUCGGACCAGGGAAGGGACUUGAACAGACAGAGAAACAUGGGCUUGAUUCAGGGUAUUUGAGUCCUGUGGGGAAACCACUGGCAAGUCUGUCUCUCCAGAUCUCGGUUUUGUUGUGUGCGGAUACUAAGUCCAUCGGCGGGUGGGGGGGGGGGGGCGGGGGGGCCAACAAGGUAACAUAAUAUCUGCUGAUCUCCAGAUAAUUCCCCCUGGAGGGCACCAGGGAAAGAUCAAGGAUGAUGAACAAGGGAUGGGUGAAACAAAGCCCAGGAAAACAAAGCAUUUCAAAAUUGAAAUUACUCAAAGCUUCUUUAAAACCCACCACCAGUGGGAACCUGAAAGUGUAAUUAUUACAGAACCCACGAAUAUAAUUAGGCGCUUCCCUCCUGUCCCCACCCACUUCUCCCAGGCUUUGGGAAUGGGAGAAGGCGGGAGGGGGUCCGGAGAGUCUCCAGACUCACAACACAACACCCUACAUUCCCCUGCUCUUAUAAACUUCCUCAAAAAACAGUACUUGGAUCUGGCUGGAGCCAAACCCCAGAGCUUCUUGUCCAUCAAUUAAUAUUUAUUGGGCCUUCACAAUGAGCUAAGCAGGCAUAUAAAAGACAACAGUUCCUGCAGACUGUUAUUAAGCCAGAGAAGAACAAGCACCUCGCCUUCCUUUUCAGAAGGUGCUGGCAGCUGGGUGGUUGUGUCUGGGUCAAAACGAACAUCCAACCACUCAGCCCACAAAAAUUUACUGAGCACUCGCUACGUUGCCGACACGGUUGUAGGUACUGGAGGUGUGGCAGUGAGCGAGACAGUCAGAAGCCCUGGGCCAGGUGGAGGGUACAGGAGAGGGACCCUAAGAAGAAUGGGAGAGAGGCCGGUGGCAGGUACAGCCCCACACGUGGAACCCUGAGUCCCCGCCACCUUGCCGUAACCCUGAUUUUACAUGCUCCUUUCCAAAAAACUGCUACUGGGAUGUAGCUGUGUAGGAUUUCGAGGCCACCGGGGGAAGGAGUCUGAGUUUAGACCACGUGAAGUGCGUUUUCCCCAAGAAUGAAUCAGAUGCUCGUUGGAGCUCUGAAUCUCUUGCCCAAGUAAAAUAUUCACCUUCAAACCAUUUGAAGCCAGAAAAUCUCCAGAGCAUCUUCUCAUCAGCUGCCCUGCUCCUCAGAUGCCAUGGGCCAGUUUGGAAGCUGCCUUGACCCUCACUGGAAGCUGUGACUCCUCCAGGUCAAAGGUGGCUUGUCAAACUCUCCCAAAAGGCACUUGCGGGUUUCCAGCGUGUGCAGUGCCCUUCUGGGAAGGUGGCUGGGGACCAGAAAGUCCGUAUCUGAGCCUGACUGGUGGCCACAGCAGGAGUGCUCCCAGUCAGGAUCCUGGGACUAGAAGCUUCACAGAAGCAGGUAUCAUCGUCCACCAUGGCCAUCUGAGCACCUAGCAGUUUCUUUGGAACCCAACGGGUGAGUGAAAGAAGGAAUGAGUGAAUAAAUAAAUCAGAAGCACUUUGUGGGGAUCCCUG
rnacentral:lncRNA from 12 species